AGCAGCCGCGGUAAUUCCAGCUCCAAUAGCGUAUAUUAAAGUUGUUGCAGUUAAAAAGCUCGUAGUUGAAUUUCGGGGUUAGUAGGCUGGUCGUGCCACUGGUAUGUACUGGUCUUACUGACUUCUCCUUUCUGAAGAACUGUAAUGCCAUUAAUUUGGUGUUGCAGGGAAUCAGGACUGUUACUUUGAAAAAAUUAGAGUGUUUAAAGCAGGCUAACGCUUGAAUACAUUAGCAUGGAAUAAUGAAAUAGGACGUUCGAUCCUAUUUUGUUGGUUUCUAGGAUUGACGUAAUGAUUAAUAGGGAUAGUUGGGGGCAUUAGUAUUCAAUUGUCAGAGGUGAAAUUCUUGGAUUUAUUGAAGACUAACUACUGCGAAAGCAUUUGCCAAGGAUGUUUUCAUUAAUCAAGAACGAAAGUUAGGGGAUCGAAGACGAUCAGAUACCGUCGUAGUCUUAACCAUAAACUAUGCCGACUAGGGAUCGGAUGAUGUUAAUUUUUUAAUGACUCA
rnacentral:rRNA from 1 species